GGCUCAGGAAUAAAUCGGAGGGAAUUUGUAAUUGCUGCUUUUAUAAGAAACAUAUUAACAUUUUCAGCGGAGAGGGAACUGAAGCCACUUCCAUAAACACAGAUGCUGGCGAAAGAAAAAAGGCAUUCUGAGCCUCUCACUGGUUCCCCCCACCCCCAGCCCACGAUCCUGUCUUACCAUGGCUCUUUAAAGAGCCCUUUUUUUCCAUUGAAAAACAAACCAGAACAAAAACAAAAGCAGCAGGAGUAGGUCAACAAAAACACACAAACCCCCGUCACCAAUAGCAUAGAACAUUUGCAAUGCACGAAUGUGGCAAAUUUUGUGUGGGAGGAAACCAUAGAACAUAUCUUUGUUCAGGCUUUCUGCAAGCACACAAGCCUGGAUCAGGAUUUUGUCUGGUCUUGCAGAGUUAGGCGGGAUACAGCCUGGAAGAGCAUUAGGAUUGAUGAACAGGAGUAUCGUGUGUCAUCUCCUUUCCUCAUCCUGGCCCAGCCUAACUCCUGAGAUAUGAAGAAUUCAUGCACCUAAGAUUCCAGCUGACGUGCCUUGAAGCAGCACGAACGAGACUCAAGGGUCUCACCAUCCACACUCCAUGUGAUUGCAAAAAUCUGCUCUGCCUCAGUGCCGCUGCUCCUCCCAUGGGGACACAAUACAUUAGCACAUGCUUUCGAUGAUCUGGAGCCGAAGAUCGGGACCUGAUGGUUGACCAACAUCCAAAAGGCAUCAUAAUCUGCACAUUCCAGGAAAGGAUUGCAAAGCUGGCUUUUUAAGGAACAGCAGGGAAUGAAGAACAUGGAAGUAUUUUGUUUUCUCAUGCAUUUUAUUUUUUCAUUAGACUCUCAGCAGAAAGAACUUCAUGUUACAAACAAUUAUAACAAGAACAAAUCAAUGUUGUUUUUCUGCUUACUUGGCCAACAUAUUUGUUUCUAGCACAGAGAUUUGGACCAAACACUGCCCUAUACUGUAUAGUAUAUGUUAGGGUCUUUCAAAAAAAAAUUUCCAUCAGAACCUCAUUUUCUUUUGGAUUAUGUACACCACUUUACCUUUGUGCCAUUAUGGUUAAACAAGAUUUGAACUAUAAUUGUUUUCUUCACUCUAAAUAUACUUUGGCUUGAGGGGGGUUCAGAAUGGGAGGGAAGUGGGAGAGAUGGAAGUGAUGAGAUUGGAUUGGGUGAUUCCCUGAUAACUCAGACAUGUAGGCAGAGUUUGCUUUGGUAUCCCUGCCUGCAGGACACAACUUUUCUGAUUCUAUUAUGCAGAACAGUUGAUCCCUAGGAAAAAAAAGAAAAGCAAAACAUUACAGAUGCCAGCAGAGUGUAUAAUAAACAUCACACAAGGACAAAUUUUAGCGAGUUUGUUUAGACAGCUGAAGCACAUUAGAUACAAAUAGCUUUUAGUGGAGAAGCACAUUGUUUAAAACUAGGUUAUCGUGGAUGCUCAUUUCAGAAUUUGUAGCAGAUAGGAUCACAGUAAUUCCAGGACUACUCCAGUACAAAUUCCAAUUCAACACUUCAGUUCCAGACAUGCAUACAGUAUAUAUAUAUAUCUACUGUAGAUUAACAUAUGUAGAUGAACAGUAUAAUGAAAUGGAGAUUUCUAAAUGUUUUGACAGCUGAUAUGAUAGAGGUUACAUCACCAACUGCCAGCUUUUAUGUAUUCUUUAAAGGGCUAAAAGGCAUUUAUAGUAUUUUUUGAACCAUGACCUUAUCCAAUGUUAUACACAAUAAGUAUGCUAGUCAGUUCACAUUCUGGUAGUGUAUUGUAUUCUUUCACCCCCUGGGGACUAAAAUAUGUAGUUAAAUAAAACUUGGAUUUACAUUACAUUCUUUGCCUUUCUAGAUUAUUUUACUAUUUAUCUGAAAUACUGUAAAUUUCUGUACAACCAUUUGAUUUUCAUUUUGUGUAGUUGCAUAUUUAGGGGUUUUCAUAAAUGAAGAGACUAGAAUAAGAGAUAGUUAUAUCACAGACUGUAAGGAACUUCUAAGAUAAAUCAUGAUUAAUCCAUUCAAUUGUGAGUGGGGUUUUUGUGAUUUUGAUGGAACCCGAUGAUCCUGUACUUUAUCAGGGGGAUUUUCAGAGCUUUUUGCUCCCAUCUGAAAUUAGUUCUUAAGUUUUUGGAAGUUUGCAGGAAUGCAUUGACAAUGCCAGUCAAGCUAGAUUAAAAAAUGGGAGCAUAAAAAACAAUAUUUGUGCUUUAUC